AUGGCUAUUUCUACUGCUACUCGUCAUUUGUUCACUUUCUUUGUGUUCUUCUGCUUCGCUCUUCGCCUUAUUUCUGCUGAGGUUCGUAUUGCUGCUGCACUUUGUGGUAGGCCAAGUGGAACAUGGAAUGGACCUUGUGUCGGCUCUAGCAUAUGCAAUGAUCAGUGCAAGGAGAGAGAGAACGCUAUCGGUGGAGGCUGCAACGUUUUGGCUUGUUACUGUCAUUAUUUAUGUCAGUAA